GCCCUGGCCGGACACUGGAGCUGAGAAUUUCAACUGAGUCAAAGAGAUCCAGUGUCACAAGCACCACUGCUGUGAGAGCCAAAGAAACAUGGGAAAGAGACAACAGGAAGUGAAGAGAAGGAUGUGUUUCCAAAUGGCCUGGAAGAAGAGUUAAAAAGAUAAUUAUAAAAUCUCUGCUUUUUCUUAUAUGUGGGGAAAACCAACUUUCUGAAGGGCGCUUCCAUAUGAGUAAAUCAGCUGAUAAAGAAACGUUCUUCAAAAAACAAACAAGCACUCCUUGAUUUGAUAAUCAAAUGAGGGACGCAUGGCAAACUUUUUGAAUAUGUGAGUCCCACUGGCUUUGCAGAUGGCUGGACGUUUUCUCUGCCUGGCCCCUUCAGAAUGACAGCACCAUUUGGAUGACUCGCUCGCACUAGAUGAGGCCUUUCUACUUCACCUUGGUUCCACUCAGUUGCACAUAAGGCAACCUGCUGCUGGUCCAGGUUUUGGGACCCAUUUGUAGCAGCAGAAAGAUUCAGCACUAGGAGGAAAGGAGACCCACAGUGUGAAAGCAUCGAGCCAGGUUUCCUGGAGGCCUGCACAGGAGCUAUGCUGGGAAUCAGGGGAGAAGUUUUGGCAGAUAAGGGAAGAAAGAUAUAUGCUGGACAAAGACUUUACAUAUUUCAUAAUAUUUAACUCUCCCAAUAAUACCAAGAGUUUGUUUACAUUUUUCUUGGUUUUCAAAUAAGUAAAGAGGAAAAAUCCUAACAGUCUGUGCUUUUUUUAAAGGGUUAUAUCCAUAGUGAAAUAAUCUAUGUGACAGAACAGAAUUAGCACCAGAGGUCUCCCGACCUCAAAAGUUGAAUUAUUUUCAGUCCAAGUCCCUAAUUCCAGCAUAUUUCCAUUUGAAAGUUGGCAUGACAUAACAAAAAAUUGAUUAACAAAAACAAGGGAAAAAAGUCAACCAUCCUUAAAUACUUUUUUAGAUGUAAAUAUCUAAUUUGGAGACUCAGUGCAUCAGUAUGAGGUCAGCUCCUAAAGUCAGAUGCUUGGUUCAAAGUCAACUCUAGCUUUUUGCUGCCCAGUUGAGCUAAUUAAGCUCUUGAGCUCUAUGUUUACUCAUACAAGAACAACAGCAGAACCUGUCUUCUUGAGUUGUUGGGGAAAAAAUUUAAAUACAUGCGAAGUGCUUAGAAUAGUACUUGACACAUUUACUAACACUCAGUAAAUAUUAUUAGUUGGUGUCCUUCCUUCUCUGGUUCCCUCCGUCCCUCCCUCUCUCUUUCCCUUCCACUCUCAAUCUUUCUAGCAAGUUGAGUUGACAGUGUGCAUAACCAAUAAACAAUCUCUCUAGCAAGAUGGCAAGACUCACCAAAGAUGGCUCAGAAACUCAAUUGUGAAGUUUAAAGAGAAAAGAUUACUGGGAUUUAAAAAUAGAAUGUGGUGAGAAGCAAUCUUGCUGUGUCAACUUUUAGAAUGCUGUACUGAGAAAACCCAGCGGAGCUUUAUUUUAAGAAGACCCUGAAUGGCUUUGCUGCAGUACAUGGAUUUAUCUGAGCAUCCCCUUGAUGGUUUGCUUUCUUGUGAGCCUAAAACCAAGCACCAUGAAGAGUUCUGGUCUCCUCAAGCCUCCUACCUUCAACCUUACACAAAGUCCACCAAACCAGACUCGUGUGCAGCUGUCAAAUAAAUGGAGCGGAACCCCAGCUGGGAGCCUCGGUUGCUGCCUCUUUUGAAGUUCCCCUCUUUGUUAAACCUUCUUUGAACACAAACUGAAUUUUUUUAUACUGUAUUUCAGGCAUGGUGAAAAAUAUUAAGGAUACAAAAUAAGCCACAGAUGAUGGAUUUGGAAAGUAGGUAGCGAAGAAGUUUGGUCUGUGUUACUGUCUGGGUUCUAGCCCUGUGUUUUUUUUUAAAU